AAUAUAUUGCAGGGGUGCCCAUUAUGGCUGAGAAGAAUUUAAUUCUAACCCUCCGAACCUGAAUCUAGAUAAUGCUAGCGCAGGAAGCAAUGAGUUAUUAUAU
rnacentral:ncRNA from 2 species